rnacentral:lncRNA from 1 species
AAAAAAUAGGCCCAAAACCAAAAAGGGAGACAAAAGAGGAAUGGGUCUGUCUUGUAGCUUUAUUUACGGGUGGGGGGUUGUUGAAACUUGAAUGUAUCAAUCUCUCGAGUCCCGAGUGGAUGAGAGAGAGAGAGAGAGAGAGAGGGGUAGUUUGGGAAAGUCUAGAAGAACGGGGAAAAGGAUGAGAGAGAGAGGGGUAGUUUGGGAAAGUCUAGAAGAACGGGGAAAAGGUCACAUGGUGAUCCGAAAUGUAAGACAGAGAGAGAGAGGGGGGUCAGUAACGGCAGCUUGAUCGAGGCAAGAGAUCAGGAGAAGAGAAACUUCGAGUGGAGUUUUGGGGUUUGAGGAGAGGGAGGGAAUAUAAGCGUUUGAUACGAGUAUU